AGAGUUUGAUCAUGGCUCAGGACGAACGCUGGCGGCGUGCUUAACACAUGCAAGUCGAACGAGACCCCUUCUUCGGGAGGGUGUUCUAGUGGCGAACGGGUGAGUAACACGUGGGCAACCUGCCCCCGGCUCUGGGAUAACUCCAAGAAAUUGGGGCUAAUACCGGAUAUGACCGCUGACCGCAUGGUCUGGUGGUGGAAAGUUUUUCGGCUGGGGAUGGGCCCGCGGCCUAUCAGCUUGUUGGUGGGGUAGUGGCCUACCAAGGCGACGACGGGUAGCCGGCCUGAGAGGGUGACCGGCCACACUGGGACUGAGACACGGCCCAGACUCCUACGGGAGGCAGCAGUGGGGAAUAUUGCGCAAUGGGCGGAAGCCUGACGCAGCGACGCCGCGUGGGGGAUGACGGCCUUCGGGUUGUAAACCUCUUUCAGCAGGGACGAAGCGAAAGUGACGGUACCUGCAGAAGAAGCACCGGCCAACUACGUGCCAGCAGCCGCGGUAAUACGUAGGGUGCAAGCGUUGUCCGGAAUUAUUGGGCGUAAAGAGCUCGUAGGCGGUUCGUCGCGUCGGCUGUGAAAACCCGGAGCUCAACUCCGGGCCUGCAGUCGAUACGGGCGGACUUGAGUGUUGCAGGGGAGACUGGAAUUCCUGGUGUAGCGGUGAAAUGCGCGAUAUCAGGAGGAACACCGGUGGCGAAGGCGGGUCUCUGGGCAACUACUGACGCUGAGGAGCGAAAGCGUGGGGAGCGAACAGGAUUAGAUACCCUAGUAGUCC
rnacentral:rRNA from 1 species